rnacentral:rRNA from 1 species
GACGAACGCUGGCGGCGUGCUUAACACAUGCAAGACGAACGGAGUGGCGAACGGGUGAGUCAGACGUGGGGGAUCUGCCUUGCACUGCGGGAUAAGCUUGGGUAACGGGGAAGAAUACCGGUUAGUGCAAGAUGAGCGCGCGGCCUAUCAGCUUGUUGGUGGGGUAAUGGGCUAGCAAGGCGUCGACGGGUAGCCGGCCUGAGAGGGGUUACGGCCACAUUGGGCCUGGGAUAGUGCCCAGACUCCUACGGGAGGCAGCAGUGGGGAAUAUUGCACAAUGGGCGGAAGUCUGAUGCAUCGACGCCGGGUUGGGGAUGAAGCCCUGAUCUUUGUAAAUUCCUAUCGACAGGCACGCGUUACCCACAUACGUCGUACCGCCUACCUACGUGCCAGCAGCCGCGGUAAUUC